rnacentral:rRNA from 1 species
GACGAACGCUGGCGGCGUGCCUAAUACAUGCAAGUAGAACGCAGUUGCGAACGGGUGAGUAACGCGUAGGUAACCGCCCCAUAGCGGGGGGUAACUAUUGGAAACGAUAGCUAAUACCGCAUACUGUGAGAUGGACCUGCGUUGUAUUAGCUAGUUGGUGGGGGAAAGGCUCACCAAGGCGACGAUACAUAGCCGGCCUCGGAGGGUGAUCGGCCACACUUGGACUGAGACACGGCCCAGACUCCUACGGGAGGGAGCAGUAGGGAAACUUCGGCAAUGGACGGAAGUCUGACCGAGGAACGCCGCGUGAGUGAAGAAGGUUUUCGGGUCGUAAAGCUCUGUUGUUAGAGAAGCGGUACCUAACCAGAAAGGACCGGCUAACUACGUGCCAGCAGCCGCGGUAAUUC